ensembl:lincRNA
ACCGCAAUGACCUUCACCCCACAGUGUCUAGUAUAGAGCUAUGUUACAUUGAAUGGCAAAAGUGACUUUGUAGAGGUGUCACUUAUCCGGAUGCUGCAUGAUUAAGACCACCAUACUCUUAUCAAGCAUACAGGUGUUAAUGUCUAUUUUAAAGAGGAGAGAACUCAAGAAGUUCUGUAGAAACUGCUUUCUUCAUCAUAUCUCAAAGGAUUUGCUGAGGAUUUCAGAGCUGCCACGAGUUGAGAGAAGACUUCGGACAUUUCACUUAAUGCUGAAAAUUCACUCUACUGCCACUACUCAGGACUUCUGA